rnacentral:rRNA from 1 species
GACGAACGCUGGCGGCGUGCUUAACACAUGCAAGUCGAACGGAAAGGCCCUGCUUUUGUGGGUUGCUCGAGUGGCGAACGGGUGAGUAACACGUGAGUAACCUGCCCUUGUCUUUGGGAUAACUUCAGGAAACUGGGGCUAAUACCGGAUAGGAGCUCCUGCUGCAUGGUGGGGGUUGGAAAGUUUCGGCGGUUGGGGAUGGACUCGCGGCUUAUCAGCUUGUUGGUGGGGUUGUGGCUUACCAAGGCUUUGACGGGUAGCCGGCCUGAGAGGGUGACCGGCCACAUUGGGACUGCGGUACGGCCCAGACUCCUACGGGAGGCAGCAGUGGGGAAUAUUGCACAAUGGGCGGAAGCCUGAUGCAGCAACGCCGCGUGCGGGAUGACGGCCUUCGGGUUGUAAACCGCUUUCGCCUGUGACGAAGCGUGAGUGACGGUAAUGGGUAAAGAAGCACCGGCUAACUACGUG